UUGCCGGUUGCCAUAAACCCGUAGAUCCGAACUUGCGGUACGACUGCCUCACACAAGCUCGAGUCUGUGGGUAUGUGUCGAUCCUGGCCAGG
rnacentral:miRNA from 1 species